UACGUAGGGGGCAAGCGUUGUCCGGAUUUAUUGGGCGUAAAGAGCGUGUAGGCGGCCACACAGGUCCGUUGUGAAAACUCGAGGCUCAACCUCGAGACGUCGAUGGAAACCGUGUGGCUAGAGUCCGGAAGAGGAGUGUGGAAUUCCUGGUGUAGCGGUGAAAUGCGCAGAUAUCAGGAAGAACACCUAUGGCGAAGGCAGCACUCUGGGACGGUACUGACGCUGAGACGCGAAAGCGUGGGGAGCAAACGGG
rnacentral:rRNA from 1 species